rnacentral:rRNA from 1 species
UUCGCUUGUUUAUCAAAAACAUGUCUUUUUGUUAAUAAUUUAAAGUCUAACCUGCCCACUGAUUAAUUUUUAAAGGCCGCAGUAUAUUGACUGUGCAAAGGUAGCAUAAUCAUUUGUCUUUUAAUUGAAGGCUGGAAUGAAUGGUUGAAUGAAAUACUAACUGUCUCAAUUUAAUAAAUUAAUAAUUUAGCUUUUAAAUUAAAAGGUUUAAAUUAUAUUAAAAGACGAGAAGACCCUAUAGAUUUUUAUAAUUUUAUUAAUAAUUUUAUUUAGUAAAAAAAAAAUUAAUUAUAAGAAAAAUUAUUUGAUUGGGGUGAUUAGAAAAUUUAAUAAACUUUUUUUAAUUUUAAACAUUGAUUAAUGAUUAAUUGAUCCAGUAAUAUUGAUUAAAAGAUUAAAUUACCUUAGGGAUAACAGCGUAAUUUUUUUAGAGAGUUCUUAUCGAUAAAAAAGAUUGCGACCUCGAUGUUGAAUUAAAGGUUAUUUUUAAAUGUAGAAGUUUAAAGUUUAGGUCUGUUCGACCUUUGAAUCUUUACAUGAUCUGAGUUCAAACCGGAA